rnacentral:misc_RNA from 1 species
UUUCCGUAGGUGAACCUGCGGAAGGAUCAUUAUUGUAUAACCGAGGUGCGAGGGCUGUCGCUGACCCGAAAGGUCGUGCACGCCCGAGUGCUCUCACACACAUCCAUCUCACCCCUAUGUGCACCACCGCGUGGGUCCCCCUUUGGCUUGUUCGGAGGGGGGCUUACGUUUUCACACAAACUUUGUAUGUAGUGUAGAAUGUAUUUUUUGUUUUUGCGAUCACGCAAUCAAUACAACUUUCAACAACGGAUCUCUUGGCUCUC